CAAUUUUCUCACCUACUACCUGUGAAGUGUACACAUAAGUACUAAGUGCCCAUUAAAUUACAAAUCAUAAUAUGGUGUGGUUCAAAAGUUAUUACAUAAUUAAUUG